ensembl:misc_RNA Metazoa_SRP Metazoan signal recognition particle RNA
GCUGUGGCAUGAACCUGUAGUCCCAGGAGUUACUUGGGAGGCUGAGGCUGGAGGAUCCCUUGAGCCCAGGAGUUCUGGGCUACAAUGUGCCAUGUGGAUCAGAUGUCCACACUAAGUUUGGGAUCAAUAUGGUGACUUCCCAGGAAUGGGAGACCACUGGGUUGCCUAAGGAGGAAUGAACUGGCCCAGGUGGGACACAGAGCAGAUCAAGACUCCCAUGCUGAUCAACAGCUUGGAGUCUAGCUUGAAGCUGACCAACUACACAGAGUUGCUCUGCAGUGUGAUGGCUUAAAUCUUAA